AACCCUAAACAAAAAUACCCACAUAAUUGCAGCAGGUUCUAAAUCAUAAUUUACUGAUUCUGGAAAAAAAAAUUACUUUCUGAAGUGGGACCAGGAUGACCCAAGUACUGGUAAAAGAUAAUUAAAGAACAACAGAAGGCUUCAAAGACUCUGAGAACAAGCAGUAAGCAAAGUUUUCAAGGGAGCCAACAUAGGUAUCCAACAUAGUGCUGAUCUUUCUGAGGAAGAGGACAGGGUUAGAUAAUUGAAAAAAGCGUCCCAUGUUGAACAGCUACAUUUUGACCAUGUAAGUUCUCAGCGCAUUUAGAGCAUUUGGUCAUGAGACCGAGACUGAACCUUUGACUCCGAAAGAUGACGUGCACUGGUGCGUGUAUGCCAGCACAGUCAUGCAAAACCAGUCCUCCCCAUGUCACUGCUCCAAUCUUUGUAGGAAACACAGCAUUUGCAAACAUUCUUCACUAUGGUAAGACUUGUCUAUUAGAAGACAAAAUUAUGCCCUAUAUACUUACUGCCAUAAAUAUUUGUUUUAUAAAUAAUUAUCUCAUUUUUGAGAAGUCUUCCAAAAUUCACAGAAAUCCACUGUAAUCUGGGAUUAAGAUCCACAGCCUUUCUACAGCUGAUGCCAAAGAUCAAUGGUCAAAUUAAAAAAAAAAUUUUCCCCAGCAAUUAGAAAUUUCAUAUCUAUUUGAAAAUAAACUAGACUUGAAAAUCUCUAACCUGACAGACCUGCAGCUGUUUUAACAUACGCUCUGUUCCCCCCAUCAUUAGAGUGACCAAUUCCAAGACUACUACAAUGGGAUGAAACUGAUGCAGACACAGUAUGACAAAAGUUACACCAUCCAUGAGUACUUAAAUACUGUUAUUUCAACAAUUAAAAGUGACCAGUCUUGUAACACGAGAUCUCCUUUACCCCACGAGGAAGUUCUGGAGAAAGACAUGAUUGGUAACUAUUAAAACACACACAAAUGCUACCACCCAGAUUUUUGCUCUAAAUUAAACACAGCUUUGAAGUAGUCCCAGAAUAGUAGGCCGUUCCUCAGCUGAGGAUUACUGUGUUCCAGGAGCUUUCUAAUGCUUUUGAGUAUGUAAGUUUUAUAAAGGUACGGCACAUCCCAUUUUGUGAGCUGUGGAACUACCUAAACAUUGUUUUAAUCACUAAGAAAGAUUUCCUGGUUGUCCUUAGAGGACACGAAACCAGGAAAAGAGGGGACUAAGCAAUCAAAAAAAGUAGCAUUCAUUCUAUUACUUUGAUGCUUCAUUCUGAAAAUAUCUAUUUUAGAUUAUAGUUCAUGCAAAGUGUUGGGAUCACCCCAAUUCUGCUGCAUAAUUCCCAACACUUGCCUUUAGUCUCACAGAAAUCCAGUGCAGAGGCACUAAGCACCUCAGCAGUUACUGCCAGUGAUACAGGGCAAUAGCAAAACACGAUUAGAUAAAGGCUCUCCAGUCCACAGUGUCAUCUUUUCAUAAACGGCAGAGAAGUCAUUGCCGCUAAUUGAAACCAGUGUUCUGGGCCUAAGAUGUUUGCAUGUAACAGUCAAGAAGUAAUUAUAACAGUAAACUCACCUAAAAAUCAAAUAUAUGUAAAAAACUUUGUCAAAAGGCUGAAGACACCCCUCAUAAUCCUCAUAAUAAUGUUAUACUAAGUAUAAAUCUUACUGAUCGUGUCUAAGUGGCACACACAUGCUUACUAAAUGAAAAACAUUUCAAAGUCUCUUAAAGCAGCCUGAUGAUCUCCCAAUUAGUAUUAAUUUACACAAGCAAAUCUCCUUUGCCUUUCAGUACCUGAUUCUUGCUAUGUCAGGACUUCUUGGAUCCUGACAAGUAUCUCUAUUUGAAAGAGCUGAUAGUUAAGCCUUAGACGACAAAUGCUUCACAAAUUAAAGACGCAGUUUUGCACAUAAUAGUUUCUCUUUUAUUUUUCGAACUAGGGGUGAAUCACAGUUCUCAACCUUUAAAAUUUUGCAGAAAAAAAGAAAAGGUAAUCUACUGUGUGGCAAAUGAUGCGACCUUGAUAAUUAUCUCCGAAGGUUAAAACAAAGCAGACAUUUGCAGCCUCUGCUGAAGCACAGCUGUGGGGCCAAGAGCCCUCGAGAAUCAUCUUAGCUGUGGAAAUGGACGCAAUUUUAUGAACUGAAGCUAGGAAGCAGCUAAUUCAGACAUUCUCUCUGUUUCAAGUGAACAACUACUAAAAAGCAACACCGAAGCAUGAAGGUUUUCUGAUUUUCUGUAAGAGUCUGUUAUAUGGCACUUCCAUAAGUAUGUUCAAACAGCACGUACUUUCUCAUGCUGGAAAAAAAGGCAAACAGGUUUCAAGUAUGGGGUAAGUAAGGGCAGAGUUGUCAACUAAAACAACUGCAUGCCACUGAUAGAUCAAGCUUGGCACUCCAGGGUGAGAAUCUAAUGUACCUGGGCUCCAACACCGCAAACACGGCCGAUGCCAAGGCACUUUAACAGGGCAAUUAAAGCAUUUGUCUUCUGGAACUGCCUGUCCUUUGUUUCACGGUUCCCUGUUAACUUGAAACUUCCCCUGACCCAGUUAGUCAAAGCCCAAGGCACGGCUGGAAUUCACUCGGGAUGUGCCAACAUAAAGAUUUCAGGAAUUCUCUGCGCAACAAAGGCAGCCCAAACCCCCGACAGCGGGGGCGUGAGCUGCCCGGGGGAUCCGCCCCGCCAGCGGCCCCCCCGGGAGUAGCCCGGGUAAACAAACACCCCGACUCGCUGGUGACAUCUCUCCCACUUUCCGCGUAGUAUCGCGCUCUCCCGGAAAGUACUUAUCACGGAAAAAGUCAUCGAGAGCCGCUUAAUCCCGUUAGAGAAAAGCCGAUCCCCGGCCGAGCGCGGCUGUUCGCGCCGCCCAGAAUAGCUGCGGCCUCUUUACUGACAGCUCGGGAGAGCUCUGUUCACAUCAUCACUCUCAGCUGAAAUGUCCAAGAUUAGCAGAAGGCAGAGUAGCUCCGUUUCCAGGCCGGAACACCCCGUGUCACUCUGCAAGUCCACCAAUACCGUUCCCGAAACUGCAACAUACCAGGAGAGAAAUACACUCCAGGCUGGCAUUCCACAGGUAUCAGCUUUCAGCAUCACUGCUGUCCUGCAGCUGAGAUGAGAAAGGCAAGGCGAAACAGCCCUGGCAGGAUUCUUUGGAGUCGUAUUUCUUUUGCAUUGUAAAGCACUAAAUGUCACUAGGAAUUCCUUAUCUACUGUCUUAUCUGGUGGACAGUUAAACCCCUUGCAAGCCCCUCUAAAAUUAAACAGCACACUCCCACCCGGAUCAGGCCUGCGGAACAAAGUCUACUUAAAGUUUUAUGGUUUGUUGCUAGUUGCAGGUGAGAAAUAUACCAGACUCCCACUGCACUUCUAAUUCAGAUAAAUUUCUUCCUCAAUAGGUACAGUUCAUGCACUGUAUCUCAUACAGAAAGUAAGAUAAGGAAGGCAAACAGUAUUCUUCGUGAAGAGGCUGGACUUUGGAAGGAAGGCCUGAAAGAACCUGUUUUAUUAGAGCAAAUAUGAAACUGCAUUCAGAUAUUGUAUGGAAAGGCCUGCUUCUAGCUAUUGUUAAUAAUUAACAUGCAAGUGCAUACACUAGCCUUCAAGUAUCUAUUUCAGUCUAAAAGCCUCAACAGCAAAAGUCAGAGGGGAAAAAAAAAGACUAAAUCAGGGCUAAUUUAUAAACUUGGUGCUUUCAGUCACCUACAGACUAAUUCUAUGAUCAGCACGUAAUGCAAUAUUGCUUUUAGGCAGAAUCAAGGCACAAGAAAUAGAAAUUUAGUUUUACUUCCAGGUAUGUGUCAGAUUACUUGGUUUACACUGUGGUAGGUGCCUUUUUCUUUAAUGAAUGUUUUAAAACUUCAUCCGUUAGUUCUCAAAAUCUUUUGUAACAGUGGCCUUAGGAUGUCCGGUUAAUGCUCCUAAAAUGUUGUUAAGAGUAGUAAGACUAUGGACACAUUAAAUAUGUAUCUGACUUCUUUUAGUACAACAGCAGAGAACAUUGAUUGCUAGCAGAAGAGCCUUCAUCUGGAAAGUAACAAUGCUUGCAAACUUAUUCACUGUGUUACUGAUCACUUUGCAUAAUUAUCACAAUACAAAGAAUUUUAAAAUCAAUUCAGCAAACUGGAGAGGGCAUCAAUAUUAUAUGCCUUAUUUUAAAUAUAUAUUGUUUUCUAAUCUAAACUUGUCUGUCUUUCCUUAACCUGAAUUUAAAAAAAAAAGUCUGCAGUAAGGAACUGUUUAGAAUACUUUAAUUGUUCAUGGCUCUGUUUAUCCUACGAGCAGCAAAGCAACCUCCACUGGUCACCUCCCUCAGUAAAAAGCAUGAAUACUGUCUUUGUUCUACAACUGCCAGCAGUACAAUUUACAUAAAAGACAAUUUGGGAGAGAGAGGGACGUAACGCCACACAAUUUUUUGUUAUCUUUAUAUAGGAAUUAAAACAAAAAAUCUCAAUAGCAAAAUGGACUGGAACAUGUUUGAUUGGUUAAAAUUAUAUAUAGUGGAAUAAAUUUAAAACACCAUUCCCUAAAGGGCAACAUGAAGCAGUCUGCCCCGCAUCUCUCCUUGCCCUGCCAACGACAUCUGCUGUUGUACAAAGCUAAUUUCUUCCUGAUAGACUUUGCUUCUGCCCCUCCCGUGCUUCCUUUACUAUUUUGAAUGUUCUUUCAGGUUUUCUGGCAAGCCUCUGCCUUCCUUCCCAGGACUUCCACAUAUUACAGAGCUGGUUAGCACAAUCGCGGAAUUCAACCACUAACCAGAAGCUAAAAAUAAUCAAACACAAACCUUCCUGUAAACCCCCUUUCUUUUAUUCCAGUACCUCCUCUUCAGGACAGACCUUUGUCCCAUUUAUUGAAGUUGCAAUAUUUUAAGGAAAUAAGAUGUAAUGAUUUU